rnacentral:rRNA from 1 species
GACGAACGCUGGCGGCGUGCUUAACACAUGCAAGUCGAACGGAAAGGCCCUGCUUUUGUGGGGUGCUCGAGUGGCGAACGGGUGAGUAACACGUGAGUAACCUGCCCUUGACUUUGGGAUAACUUCAGGAAACUGGGGCUAAUACCGGAUAGGAGCUCCUGCUGCAUGGUGGGGGUUGGAAAGUUUCGGCGGUUGGGGAUGGACUCGCGGCUUAUCAGCCUGUUGGUGGGGUAGUGGCUUACCAAGGCUUUGACGGGUAGCCGGCCUGAGAGGGUGACCGGCCACAUUGGGACUGAGAUACGGCCCAGACUCCUACGGGAGGCAGCAGUGGGGAAUAUUGCACAAUGGGCGGAAGCCUGAUGCAGCAACGCCGCGUGCGGGAUGACGGCCUUCGGGUUGUAAACCGCUUUCGCCUGUGACGAAGCGUGAGUGACGGUAAUGGGUAAAGAAGCACCGGCUAACUACGUGC